rnacentral:rRNA from 1 species
GAUGAACGCUAGCGGCAGGCUUAACACAUGCAAGUCGAGGGGUAUAGUAGCAAUACUAGAGACCGGCGCACGGGUGCGUAACGCGUAUGCAAUCUACCUUUCACAGAGGGAUAGCCCAGAGAAAUUUGGAUUAAUACCUCAUAGUAUAUAGACCUGGCAUCAGGAUUAUAUUAAAGUCACAACGGUGAAAGAUGAGCAUGCGUCCCAUUAGCUAGUUGGUAUGGUAACGGCAUACCAAGGCUACGAUGGGUAGGGGUCCUGAGAGGGAGAUCCCCCACACUGGUACUGAGACACGGACCAGACUCCUACGGGAGGCAGCAGUGAGGAAUAUUGGACAAUGGGCGCAAGCCUGAUCCAGCCAUGCCGCGUGCAGGAUGACGGUCCUAUGGAUUGUAAACUGCUUUUGUACAGGAAGAAGCAACUCUACGUGUAGAGUCUUGACGGUACUGUAAGAAUAAGGAUCGGCUAACUCCGUGCCAGCAGCCGCGGUAAUACGGAGGAUCCAAGCGUUAUCCGGAAUCAUUGGGUUUAAAGGGUCCGUAGGCGGUCUUAUAAGUCAGUGGUGAAAUCUCCCCGCUCAGCGGGGAAACGGCCAUUGAUACUGUAAGACUUGAAUUAUUAGGAAGUAACUAGAAUAUGUAGUGUAGCGGUGAAAUGCUUAGAGAUUACAUGGAAUACCAAUUGCGAAGGCAGGUUACUACUAAUGGAUUGACGCUGAUGGACGAAAGCGUGGGUAGCGAACAGGAUUAGAUACCCUGGUAGUCCACGCCGUAAACGAUGGAUACUAGCUGUUGGAAGCAAUUUCAGUGGCUAAGCGAAAGUGAUAAGUAUCCCACCUGGGGAGUACGUUCGCAAGAAUG